UCGGGUAUAGCACAAAGGUAGCGCGCCGCAACGCUUCUUCGGAACUGUUCGCGAAGGUCGGGGUUCGAUUCCCCGUACUCGAG